rnacentral:rRNA from 1 species
AUGGAGGUGGAAACGGCGAUGCCUCCUCCGGCGACCGAGCUGGAGCACAUGGACUCUGCUGUGCUGGAGCUGGCACACACGGAGCUCUCCUCGCUGCCUGGAAGCGACGCGAAUGGUGCGGCGACCAAGGUGCAGAAGGUGUACCGGAGCUACCGAACUAGGCGCAACCUCGCCGACUCCGCUGUUGUCGUCGAGGAGCUCUGGUGGCAAGCACUGGAGUUCGCGCGGCUUAACCACAACACCGUCUCUUUCUACGACGGCCCGGAGCCGGAGACUGCUGCCUCGCGCUGGAGGCGCGUCAGCGUCAAUGCAUCCAAGGUGGGUCAGGGUUUAUCGAGGGACGGUAAGGCUCUCAAGCUGGCUUUCCAGCACUGGAUCGAGGCUAUUGAUCCAAGACACAGACGCGGGCACAACCUGUAUUUCUACUAUGAUGUCUGGUGCCAGACCCAGGCUGGCCAACCGUUCUUCUACUGGCUUGAUAUUGGUGAGGGAAAAGAUGUAGAUCUUCCGGAAUGUCCAAGGGCUCUGCUGAAGAAGCAAUGCAUAAGAUAUCUUGGUCCACAAGAGCGCGAGUACUAUGAAUACAUCAUUACAGAGGGAAAGAUUACCCACAAGAUGUCUGGAGAACCACUUGAUACAAGCCAGGGCCCUAAAGGGACAAAAUGGAUUUUUGUUAUGAGCACAGCAAAGAAACUUUAUGCUGGGAAGAAAGAGAGAGGUGUAUUCCAGCACUCCAGCUUUUUAGCAGGAGGUGCUACCAUAGCUGCUGGAAGGUUUAUUGCAGAAAAUGCAGUUAUCAAGUCCAUCUGGGCCUAUAGUGGACAUUACAAACCGAGUGCGGAAAACCUUAGCAACUUCCUGAGCUUUCUAGAAGAGAAUGGAGUUGAUCUGAAAGAAGUUGAGGUGUGCUCAUUCACCAAAGAAGACUGCUAUGAAGAUCCGGUGCCUAAUACCAAACAGAACCCUGCUGCUGCUACCAUGUCAUCCAAUCCUUCACAACUGAUUCUCCCUUCCAACAAGGCAUCUGGGGCAUCUUCACAGACCGAAGCUGACGAGGGCAAUAAUCCCCGUGUGGAGCAAGCAAGGGCAACCUACCAAACAACCUUAUCAGGUGGCCUGCAAUGCCCUGGAGAUGCCGGCGUCUCGCAGGAGGCGAUUCUUGAGAGGGUGAAUUCCAUGAGCAAGUCAAAAUCCUACCAGCUCGGCCACAGGCUGUCCCUGAAAUGGAGCACUGGGAAUGGUCCAAGAAUUGGUUGUGUGAAGGACUAUCCAAUGGAGCUCAGAAUACAAGCGCUGGAGAUGGUACAGCAGUCUACAACUCUCACCAAGGGCAUCGACUCCUCUGGCCUCGUGGAUGGUACCGACAGGCCUCUUGCCCACCUUGCAAAUGUCGCCGCUCGUGCCAGUGCAGACCUCCCUGCCCUAGCCAAGUAA